rnacentral:rRNA from 1 species
UGGGGAAUAUUGCACAAUGGGCGGAAGCCUGAUGCAGCGACGCCGCGUGGGGGAUGACGGCCUUCGGGUUGUAAACUCCUUUCGACCGCGAGGAAGCCGCCUGGUUGGAAGGGUGGUGACGGUAGUGGUAGAAGAAGCACCGGCUAACUACGUGCCAGCAGCCGCGGUAAUACGUAGGGUGCGAGCGUUGUCCGGAUUUACUGGGCGUAAAGAGCUCGUAGGUGGCUUGUCGCGUCGUCUGUGAAAGUCUGGGGCUUAACUCCGGGUGUGCAGGCGAUACGGGCUGGCUUGAGUGCUGUAGGGGAGACUGGAAUUCCUGGUGUAGCGGUGGAAUGCGCAGAUAUCAGGAGGAACACCGAUGGCGAAGGCAGGUCUCUGGGCAGCCACUGACGCUGAGGAG